UACAGAGGGGGCAAGCGUUGUUCGGAAUUACUGGGCGUAAAGGGCUCGUAGGCGGCCAACUAAGUCAGACGUGAAAUCCCUCGGCUUAACCGGGGAACUGCGUCUGAUACUGGAUGGCUUGAGUUUGGGAGAGGGAUGCGGAAUUCCAGGUGUAGCGGUGAAAUGCGUAGAUAUCUGGAGGAACACCGGUGGCGAAGGCGGCAUCCUGGACCAACACUGACGCUGAGAUGCGAAAGCGUGGGGAGCAAACAGG
rnacentral:rRNA from 1 species